AGUUCCAAAAUUCCUUCUAAAACAAUCCCUUGCUUUUAGAAUUUCUAAAGAUUCUAUUACAACAAUUGAUUCCUGAAAUCAGAAAAAACAGGAUCUUUGCAUAAAGCUCACAAAUGAAUCACAACUAAUAACAUCAAACAUAUUCCUAGCAUCUAAGAUUAUUAGAAGUCUUGAUUCAAACCAGAUUUAGAAUCAGUUUCCCAGCAUAAAUCUAAACCAAAAAUCAAAGGAUGAGUGAUCAAGUCACCUUAGCUGUGAGAACAAAGUCAAGUCAUUAACACUGAACAAAAUGAUUUCAUAUACAAACCAAGAGAGGUAUAGAAGAGUUUGAUGGAUCACAUCACAUUCAAUCUUAAUACAAGGGGAGCUUAGCCACUCAUGGUAAUGUGUAGGUCAAUCUUUUCAUACAAGGAGAGAAAAGAAAAGAAAAAUAACAGAGUUGAUCUCUCUGAGCUUCCCAGCUUCGUAACCCCCUCAUUCCUAGUUGGACUCCUCCUUUCUGCAUUCUCAUAGGGAAAAACAUAUAAAAUGCAAUUAACUCUUCUCAACAAAAGAAAUCCAUUUUUCUUACAAGAAUAAGAGUUUUCUUAAGUCUAAUUAUCUUAUAAAAACGAUUUAUAAAACCGGUUUAUGAAAUGAAAUAAGAUUUACGCUCACUUAUAUCCUAUACAAUAUCUUUAGUCGAUGUUUGAUCUCUAUACAGAUUGUUGUACAAUUUCCUGUGCAUCUGACCUGUGAUUGUUGGGUACUGGCCGGAAUAGCACUCGUAAUUGGGUUUCUGGCAAAAUAUUAAUGAAAUACUAUAUAGUGGAAAAAUCAUGAUAAUGAUAGUACAAACUUGCAUUUAUAGAUGGAUUCUGUGGAGUAUCUGUGUCCUCCGGAUGAGUGAAGCAGUACCUACAAUAGUUCAUGAGGGUUGAUCAGCCAAUGAAGCUGCACUCAAGGAUACAAAUGCAUCUCUGGCAUCUCAGACUGCAUGGUAGAAUUGCUUAAUCAGCUAGUAAAAAAGAUUACAAAAAAUCAUUGUAGAAGAAGACAAAGAUGAGAUUGUUUUUCUGUCAAACAGCUUAAAUUCACUCCAACCUCUGCAGUUUAAAUGGGAAUGAACUCAGCUUAAAUCUACCAAGAUGAUUGCAAUUUACAAGCAUUUCACCCACUACUUCAAUAACCCUUUUUCUGAUAUUUCUGGUUUACAUCAAACAAAAACAAUUAAGCUGCAACCAAGGAUCGUUUGAGAAUCUUGAUGAACCAUAUAUGUUGCAAAAAAGUAAAACCCCUUCAAAUUCCAAGUGAAAGCAUAUGAAUACUCUUAAUUUCUAAUUCAUCUAAUUCAUCAUACAGUGAAACCCCUUUAAAACAAAUGCUCAUAAUUGAAAGUAUUGUUAUGAAGGGAAGAGUAAAGAAAAGUACCUUCCUCACGAGAGCAAUUUUUGUCUGCGAAGUUUGCUGCUCAACGGCAAGGAAAGCCCUGAUUCCACAUUUGAAUUUGGAAUUUGGAAGCUUUAAACAAUCACUGCAGAAUAUACACUCAAAAAAAUUAUAUCCCAUUAAUUUUAGGGAUACUUUUAGAAAAAAAUUAUACAUAAUUCAUUUCACACUGGUUAAGAAAGUUAAUUAAAAUAAUUUGAUGUCACUAAUUUUUAUCAAAAAUAUUUUUUUUCUAAAGUACUUUUUAUUCAUAUUUGACAUCAUCAACAAGAAGAAAAGAGUCCUCGAAAAUAGAAUCACAAUUAUCAAGUUCAGAUAUGAGAAUAUUAAGUAAAUUUUAAAUCUAAUUCAAAGUUUAUAAAAUAGAGUUAUAAGUUGAGAUUUACAUUCAUUUAUAUAUUAUGUUUAUCUAAUGUGAGAUCCGUCAACUCGCGUAGUACAAUAUAUAUAAUGGAUGAUCCAGUAACAUGAUAAGUCUAACAAACUCUCACUAGAACAAUAUAAUCUAUAAUAAAUAAUAUGAUAAGUUCAACAAACUUUUGUUAAGAUAUACCUAAAUAACUCAUUGUUAUCAAACAUAGUACUAAUGAUAGUAAAAUCAACAUUAUUAAUUUGAUUUCACAAGAUUUUUUUUUCAAUUUUGAUGAAUUAAUUAACUAAAUUUUGUAAUAAAAGUUGAAAGAAAUAUAAAAGUAAAAAAUAUUGUAUGCUAAUUCUUUAUGUAUGUAUUAUUUCAUUCAAAAAUAUAAGAGUCUUACAAAACUAAUUCUAUAGUUUGUGCCGGUGCUCAGUAAACUUCUACAGUAAAAGAAUUUAAAUGGUACAACUUUUUUUCAUUGAAGUUCACAUCAGAAACAGAAGUAAAUAGUGAAUACAUUAAUAUGAGUUCCUGAGAGCAGCUCUGAACAGUUUUGGCUAAGAUGAAAUAAAUGAUGUUAAGUCAAACGAGAGAAGGCAAAAGGCCAAUAGCAUAGCCAAAAACUCUGAGCUGCAUUGGAAACGGGAAUUUCACUUCAUGUUCUUAUUGAAAGUUGAACCAAAACAUUAUCAAACCCAACUACCCUCAUCAAGUUAAGCACCACAAAGUAACAUUCAGCAACCAAAACUUGAAAUAAAUAUGCAGACUAAGAUGGGUCCAAACCAAAUCCUUUUCCCUUUGUACCUUCCAAUGUGACUAUGUAGUUAUCUAUUUGUUGCAAAGUCAAAGUAGACUAAGAUGGGUUGCAAGAAAAUAUGGCUUUUGCAAGUAAUCUGAUUCUUAUGCAUGAUUAGGAGUGAGAUGAGAGGACAAGCAAACAGAAAGUUUCACAUCAAUGGUUCAGCAAAUCUCUGUACUUCACUUAAUGUUGCAGAUUUAGUUACCUUCAAAGGAAGGUGGUCCAAAUGAUGACCAUCCAGAAUUGUGGCAUUGCUCACUGCAAGUCAUGUGCCACCCUCCACCACACCACACCUCACAACACCUAUCAUUCAAAACUCCUUCAUAAAGAAUGUGCAAGUCCACCCUAAUCAAAUGCUCAUCACAUCGCACUUUCUCUGUUUGUUUGUUUGUUUCAUAGAAACUAAUAAAUGAAAGGGCGUGAAAAGUGGGAGAGUCAUCAGUGAAACAAGGAGUUAAAGGAGAAGGGUCCCCUCAUUUCUUUCCAUUCUGUAAUAAUUGUAUGUAUAUAUAUGUGUAUGUGUCUCUGCAAAAACCAAAAACCAGAAACCAUGGGUUGCAUGCGGAUUUACUCUGUACCAGGGCUAUAGAGAAACAAAGACUACUCAUUUAGUGAAGUCCUUGGAAGCCUACGUACAAAGGUGCAGGUAGUUUAUCUUUUUCUGCUUCUUGGUCAGAUCCAUUUUGCUGCUUUAUUGAUUAACAUGCUUCAUGC
rnacentral:lncRNA from 1 species